rnacentral:misc_RNA from 1 species
GAAAUGCGAUACGUAGUGUGAAUUGCAGAAUUCAGUGAAUCAUCGAAUCUUUGAACGCACAUUGCGCCCUUUGGUAUUCCAAAGGGCAUGCCUGUUCGAGCGUCAUUUGUACCCUCAAGCUUUGCUUGGUGUUGGGCGUCUUUUGUCUCCAGCUUGCUGGAGACUCGCCUUAAAGUCAUUGGCAGCCGGCCUACUGGUUUCGGAGCGCAGCACAAGUCGCGCUCUCUUCCAGCCAAGGUCAGCGUCCAGCAAGCCUUUUUUUCAACCUUUGACCUCGGAUCAGGUAGGGAUACCCGCUGAACUUAA